CAAUAGCGUAUAUUUAAGUUGUUGCAGUUAAAAGGCUCGUAGUUGGAUUUUGGGUCGGGGGCACCGGUCCGCCGUUCCGGUGUGCACUGGUGGCCCCUUCCUUUCUGCCGGGGACGUGCGUCGCACUUAAUUGGGUGGCGUUCGGAGUCGGCGUUGUUACUUUGAAAAAAUUAGAGUGUUCAAAGCAAGCCAUCGCUCUGAAUACAUUAGCAUGGAAUAACAUGAUAGGACUCCGGUCUUAUUUUGUUGGUUUCCGAGACUGGAGUAAUGAUUAAGAGGGACAGUCGGGGGCAUCCGUAUUUCAUUGUCAGAGGUGAAAUUCUUGGAUUUAUGAAAGACGAACUUCUGCGAAAGCAUUUGCCAAGGAUGUUUUCAUUAA
rnacentral:rRNA from 1 species